UUGAGAAUCGGUUCUCGCUUUCGGAAAAAGAUUUCGCUUAUGCAAGAGAGUUUUCUUACGAAUCUUUACCUUCUCGAUCUUCAUCUGCAGUUUGAAAAUGCAAAAAGGUACUUCAGGGAGGGAUGCUUCGAUAACCUGAAGCUCGUUGCUGAGAAGGCUUGGGAUCUUGAAAUGAAGAAAGCGACUUGGGUGAAUGAUGUGAUAACUUUUAGGAAGGAAGUUGGAGGAUGAGAGGAUAAAAUGAGAAUGAAAAAAACGACUGCGAUGAAGAUUAUGUAGGUUCGAUUCUGAUCGGGGGGAUGUUAUUUGGUUUUUUUUCU